GACGAACGCUGGCGGCGUGCCUAAUACAUGCAAGUAGAACGAGUGGCGGACGGGUGAGUAAGGUCUGGGAAACUGCCUGAUGGAGGGGGAUAACUACUGGAAACGGUAGCUAAAACCGCAUACCAUCAGAUGUGCCCAGAUGGGAUUAGCUAGGAGGUGGGGUAACGGCUCACCUAGGAGACGAUCCCCAGCUGGUCUGAGAGGAUGACCAGCCACACUGGAACUGAGACACGGUCCAGACUCCUACGUGAGGCAGCAGUGGGGAAUAUUGCACAAUGGGCGCAAGCCUGAUGCAGCCAUGCCGCGUGUAUGAAGAAGGCCUUCGGGUUGUAAAGUACUUUCAGCGGGGAGGCGUUACCCGCAGAAGAAGCACCGGCUAACUCCGUGCCAGCCGCCGCGGUAAUAC
rnacentral:rRNA from 1 species